GACGAACGCUGGCGGCGUGCCUAAUACAUGCAAGUCGAGCGGACUUGAAGAGAAGCUUGCUUCUCUGAUGGUUAGCGGCGGACGGGUGAGUAACACGUAGGUAACCUGCCUGUAAGACUGGGAUAACAUUCGGAAACGAAUGCUAAUACCGGAUACGUGGUUUGAUCGCAUGAUCGAACCGGGAAAGACGGAGCAAUCUGUCGCUUACAGAUGGACCUGCGGCGCAUUAGCUAGUUGGUGAGGUAACGGCUCACCAAGGCGACGAUGCGUAGCCGACCUGAGAGGGUGAUCGGCCACACUGGGACUGAGACACGGCCCAGACUCCUACGGGAGGCAGCAGUAGGGAAUCUUCCGCAAUGGACGAAAGUCUGACGGAGCAACGCCGCGUGAGUGAGGAAGGCCUUCGGGUCGUAAAGCUCUGUUGCCAGGGAAGAACGGGUGGAGGAGUAACUGCCUUCAUCAUGACGGUACCUGAGAAGAAAGCCCCGGCUAACUACGUGCCAGCAGCCGCCGUAAAAC
rnacentral:rRNA from 1 species